GGCCUUUGCAAUGCUUGCAUUCCUGGCUUACCCUAAAUAAAGGUAAAGGAAAUAGCUUUUCAUAUCCCAGGAUCUUGAGAAGGUUCUGUAUUUCCAUUGGUAGAAUCUGAUAGAAAAUGGAUUGUACAUUGAUCAGAUAAGUGCUUCUUCCUAUCCUUAUUCUUUUCUGAAAGAAGAACUCUGAUGUUCACCAGUCAAGAAAAUGGUUCUAGAUCAACCACAGUUUGAUCUAGAAAAUUGUGAUCUUCCCCAUUUUAUUCCUGUUAAGCCUGAGUCUCCUGUUAAGUAGUAAUACUUGCAAAAUUUAACAGGUGUGGGAAAAAAAAUCAUCAUUAUUAAUAAACAGUUGGUUUUUUUUUUUUUUCAUAUAGCAGAAUUUUGUCAGGACUUUUCUGUCUUGUUUUUGGUAUUUGGAAAUCAAAACUGAGGUGAACAUUCAGUCGAUGAGCUUAAUCUUUGGAUUUGUUUUUUUUUGUUUUUUGUACAUUUUUUUUUUUUUUUUUUAGUGCUUGUUGUUUUCCGAUAACUGCGUGUGUAUAUAAGAGCUUUGCAGUAAUCGCUCAAUUCCAAAUAUAAUUUUGGAUGCGUUGUAAAUGUUUGAAAGGUCAGUAUGUUGCACUACUAGAAAUUGGUAUGCUCUACAGCAAACACAUCUGUGAGCUACAGUGUUAAAUAUUUGUAUACUAAUGGUACAACAAGCACAGGUAGAGUAAUGACAGAAUUGAGAUUUUACACUUAGAAUGUAUCAGUAUUUUUCAUUCUCCAGCUGAGAAUUUUGCUGUGAUCUAUGUUGAAUGUAUUGCUGCAGGGUUUAGGAGGAAGGAAAACCUUGUCCAGAGGAGUCUGUUUUUUUUUUUUUUCUAAAUUAUUUGAAUGCUUGUGAGUAGAGAAGUCUAUGUAUAAAUGUUUAUUGUCUCUAGAAGGUAAAAUAUCCUGCUUUUAGCAGUUUUUCAUCUUUCAGAAUUCAAACUAACAUCCCUUUUUCAGCAAAUUCCAUUUACUGAAAAUGUCAGUUAGAAGGUGAACGAGGAGUGUUUUAACAUGAGUCCUAACAUGUCAGUAACUACUAAUAAGCUUAAUCCCUAUGCUAUCAUACAUGACUUAUUGCACUAUACCUUAAAUCAUGUAAAUUAAAAGCACAAACCAUUAGAGAAGCCGUCUGGGUUCUGUAAACCCACUGUCUCAGUGUUGUUACAUUGGAUGUCAUUGACACAAUUGAAACUUUUUUGUAAUCAUUGAACAGGCGGUCACUUUUUAGUUUUUAGAUAAAUGGUUUUGCGUAAGGUAUAUUUUAUGCAUUUGGCCUUUCUAAGCUUUGCACGUUAUAAAAAAAAAAAAGCAGGUGACAACAGUUUGCUCCUUUUGCCUAUUUUGUAGGUGUUUGCACUUAUUAUUUAUUCUGUUUUUUGUUUUGAAGGAUCAACUUGCUUGUAAUAUAGAAAGUGUACUAUAUGUAGCAUAAUGGUGUGUGUAUGAUGCUGUACUGUAGCUUUUUUUCCCCCCUUUAUUAUUUGUUAUUGCUUUAUUUAUAUAUCUUAAGUUCCUCUCCACGUCCUAGGUGUGCUGAUAUAUAAUAUAUAUAGACAGCAGAAUCGGCUUGCUGCUACAGAGAGAUGGAAUUAGACAGCAUUGCAUGCAAUAUACAAGAAUUGUAACACAACAAUGACCCAGUCUCAACUUCCUGAGUAGAGGAUCAACCAUUUCUUUGAGGUAGAGCACUGGUCUCUUCCUAUAAAAUAUCAGACAUGUCCUCAAGGUUUUUAUUGAAGAGCUCCGAUAAUACGAGUGAGAAUUUUCUGCUUUAUAAACGUAUCUUUAGCAGCGAGCUAGCAGAUGUGAGGAGUUAGUGUUUUUAAUAUCAUUCUGGAACUAUGUGUUCUUUGAUCUAGUCAAGGUUGUAGCAUUGCUGCCUACCUUUUAUAACUUAUUUUUAUCUAGUUUUUUUUUUUUUAUUCAGUUAUUCUGAAAUCCAGUCUCUAAUCGUUACUAAGCAUCCAUCACUUCUUAGUACCUAUGUUUGGGGAAUCAUUAUAUCAUGGAUUUGUGAUCCUUGGUUGGUGUAAAGUACGCUUGUCUUGUAAAAAUAACUUGGUGUCACUUUAUAAAGAACUAAAUUCAGUCUACAAAAAGUGCUGGAAAAAGCAUAGAUUUUAUUUUUUUUAUUUCCUAUGUGGGCUGUCAGUUUAGAGAUAAACUAAAAAUAUAGAGUCCAUGUGUGGCUAUGCGUGCAGAUACCCAGCCCCAAGUGACUCAGAGGUGUUCCAUAAUCACUAGUUUACAACUAUCCUCUAGUGGAACUGUUCAUUUGGCUAAGAUUGUGUGUACACAGCUUUCCUCAAUUACUGUCAAGUAGUCAGGUGGUGAAGGAGGAGGAACAGAUUUUAAUCUAUUCAUUUUUGUUAAUUUUGUCAGACGAAUGCAUUGAUUUAGAUGUAACCAGAAGUUUCAUGUUUUGUGGAUGACUGGUCCAUGUUAAGAGCUAGAGCAGUGGUUCUUAACUCAAAUUACGGUCGUGGAAUUAAAACAUGUAAAUAAAGAAAUCUAAUAGCUAACAUUAAAUACAUUUUGCAAAACAACUUAGUGUCUUGGUUUCUCCACUGCAUUUGUUAAAGCCAUGCUGCUAAACUAGUUUAUGGUUUGCCGUUGCACAUGGCCUGCUAAAUAUGAUAUGCCUAGUCCUACCAAUGGGGACCCAAAAAGGCAUGAGUACCAGGUUUUCUUUUUUUUUUUUUUUUUAUCCCGUUCUAAGAGUUAAGAACCAUGUCCUAGAACAGGGGUAGGCAACCCUCGGCACUUCAGAUGUUGUGGACUACAUCCCCCAUAAUGCUCUUACACCCAUAAUGCUGGCAAAGCAUCAUGGGAGGUGUAGUCCAAAACAUCUGCAGUGCCGAAGGUUGCCUAUGCCUGUCCUAGAACAUUUUCACAACCAACUGCUCCACCAUGGGUUAGUGAACCCACAUACACAUCAAUGUGUACAUUAUUAACAUAAUUACAUGAUUUGUUGACCAACCUAUUCAUUAACAGACUUUACAUAUCAUCAGUUGAAGAGUUACUGUCCCUUUUUAAACUACAGACCUACUCUUAAUCGGGCAGCUGGUAUUUUUAACCUCCUUAUUUUAUUGCCUAAUUUUUAGAUUCCUGUGUUAAGCACCUCCACAUUAUCUUGACAUGGUCUCCUGUUGUGUAUCAAUAUUCUGUGUUUUCCCUAUAACUAUGUAGUACACUACAUGCUUUUAAUAUUUAGCAGUUAAACAGGUAAGGAAACUGACAAUACUAUUCAAAUAUGGAACAUCAUUCGGCAACAAAUGAUCUUACAUUUGUUGUCCUUCACUCACUCCCUUUUUUCCAUUAAAAGGGAAUGGUGUUUGUAAGCUUGGCCUUAUCACCAAACACAAAUCCUAUAGUUUAAAGUAAGCAAUAUUCCGUGAAUUCUAGCAUAAAACGGCUUGGGUUUACAAAAUAUUCUGUGUCUUUAUUCUUACAAAGUUGACUUUUUUUUAUUUUUAUUUUUAGUAAAUUUUGUUUUCUGAUGUCC